rfam:Chlorocebus sabaeus isolate 1994-021 chromosome 6, whole genome shotgun sequence.
CCUCAGGCUGUGACACUCUAAAUGGAAGCACUGUCUGUGUUCUAAGAAAAGAUCGUGCAGCCCUUUAGAGUGUUACUGUUUGAGA